rnacentral:rRNA from 1 species
UACAGAGGGGGCAAGCGUUAUUCGGAAUUAUUGGGCGUAAAGGGCGCGUAGGCGGCCUGGCAAGUGGAAGGUGAAAUCCCUCGGCUUAACCGAGGAACUGCCCUCAAAACUGCUUGGCUUGAGUCCGGGAGAGGUGAGUGGAAUUCCCAGUGUAGCGGUGAAAUGCGUAGAUAUUGGGAGGAACACCAGUGGCGAAGGCGGCUCACUGGACCGGAACUGACGCUGAGGCGCGAAAGCGUGGGGAGCAAACGGG